rnacentral:lncRNA from 1 species
CAAAGUGCUCCUGAGCGGAGCCACCUUCCUCGUCACGUUUGGAAACUCAGAGAAACCUGAAACUAUGACUUGUCGUCUUUCCAAUAACCAGAGAUACUUGUUUCUGGAUGGAGACAGCCACUAUGAAAUCGAAAUUGUACACAUUUCCACCGUGCAGAUCCUCACAGAAGGCUUCCCUCCUGGAGAAAAAGACAUUCACGCUUACACCAGCCUCCGGGGGAGCCAGCCUGCCUCUGAAGGUCAGCCUCUUCCUCCUCACCGGGGCUCCCCGCAUGCAGCGGGCCCGUUCCUCCCCUCGCCACCUGGCUUCUGUCCACGGGGUGGUCCAUGCCAAGGUUCUUUGUGAAACCUGAAUUCACUUACUUUGGUUGACUUAAGAGAGAUGUUGGAUCUGAUAAGUGGGUUUAUAAAGCAUAAAUGAAGAUACCGC